AUUGAACGCUGGCGGCAGGCCUAACACAUGCAAGUCGAACGGUAACAGGAAGAGGCUUGCUUCUUUGCUUACGAGUGGCGGACGGGUGAGUAAUGUCUGGGAAACUGCCUGAUGGAGGGGGAUAACUACUGGAAACGGUAGCUAAUACCGCAUAACGUCGCAAGACCAAAGAGGGGGACCGUCGGGCCUCUUGCCAUCGGAUGUGCCCAGAUGGGAUUAGCUAGUAGGUGGGGUAACGGCUCACCUAGGCGACGAUCCCUAGCUGGUCUGAGAGGAUGACCAGCCACACUGGAACUGAGACACGGUCCAGACUCCUACGGGAGGCAGCAGUGGGGAAUAUUGCACAAUGGGCGCAAGCCUGAUGCAGCCAUGCCGCGUGUAUGAAGAAGGCCUUCGGGUUGUAAAGUACUUUCAGCGGGGAGGAAGGGAGUAAAGUUAAUACCUUUGCUCAUUGACGUUACCCGCAGAAGAAGCACCGGCUAACUCCGUG
rnacentral:rRNA from 1 species